rnacentral:lncRNA from 1 species
UUAAGUUUAAUAUUUAUUAGAGCAAGAGUCAGAAAAUUAUUAUAUACAGUAGAUACUCUUUUACACAAAACAUAUUUGCACGUGUUUCUGAAAACUAAGUGUAAAAAAUUUUUAGAGUAAUAUCACAUUUUGAAAAUGUCAGGGAAAUUACCCUGACAUUACCAAAUUAGGUAAUGUUUUUUAAGGACGAGGUCGAUUUUUUUUUUUUUAAGUAAGAGAUACCUGGAAAUUCAAUGUGGGUUCACGUAGGUUAACCUAAAAUUUGGCCUUUUUUUUUUUUUGACAAAUCUUACAUUAAAAAUCAUAUUGACAUGAUCACUUUUUCUGCACGAUUUUUUUUUAUUGAAGUAUUAUUGAUAUACAACAUUACGUUAGUUUCAGGUGUACAACAUAGUGAUUCGAUAUUUAUAUGAUGAAAUGAUCACCACAAUAAGUCUAGUUACCGUCUGUCCCCCUAUAAAGUGGCUAUAAUAUUAUUGACUAUACUCCCUAUGCUGUAUAUUACAUCUCCAUGGCAUAUUUAUUUUAUAAUUGUCAGUUUGUAACUCUUCAUCCCCUUCACCUGUUUCGCCCCAUUCCCCACGGGCCUCUCUGCACAUGAUCUGUUUUUACCAGCAUCCAGGUGGGAACACAUGGAUCUCUUACUACCUCGUUAACUCAGGACCCCAGGAACCAGCAAGCUUACAGGAAGUGACUUCUGGUUCUUCUGAUGCCUGAGGCAUGAUGAAGUUCACUCCUGGCCUCAAGAGAAUGGAGCAGGGGAGACGAAGAGUGGACAACCACACCCGGUAAGGCGCCCAGCACAGAGCAGAUGUCCACUGGGGACUACUGUCAACACCACAGCUAAAAAGCUGUGUUGUAAAUACAAUGCUGUGAAUUUUUACAGGCAACCCUUAGACAGCUAAGAGCCCGAAGUGUAGAUCUAUUCUAUUUCCCCACCAGAACAUGCAGGAAGGCAGAUGGAAACGAAAGGACACGAGUGGACUCUUUCACAGUAAAGUGACUGAAAACCUCCCACUGCAGGCAAGACCAAACGUGACAAUGGGAGGAAGAGGCCUGAACAGUGCGGCUGUAACUCUAUCCUGACCUAAGAAAGGGCCCCAAACUUGGCAUCAUUUACAUGAGCCGGGAAGGACAUGCAAUAAAAUUACCUGGAAGGGUAAGCGGGAUAGAUUUCAUAGGAUUCUGACCAAUUCUGGAAUCCUAUAUGCUUGAUGUUUUCCCCACACUGAA